UGACAACAUAUACAACUCCCAAUAUAAUAUUGCGCCCCCCGUCCCCCUCUCCCCCCCAAAAAAACACAACUUUGAUCCAACUUAUACAUAAACUAUUAUACUAUAAAGUCCGGAGGAGGACCUCUAAGCGCAUUUACACAGACUAGAAACAUGGCAUCCAAGUGGUCAACUCCUCUUGCUCUUUUUACUCUCCUCCUCCUCUUGUUUGCCAUUGGUUAGUUCUCUCUCGGUUUGUUUUCAAUAAGUUCUUAGUAGAUAGUGUGAUACCAAUUAACUAAUCUAUAUGUGUAUAAAUGUUUCUUAAUGUCCUUACCAUAGAUAUAUUAAUUUACGAGUGUAAAAUUGAUGGUUAAUGAAAACUCUAUUGCAGUUGCAUCGUGCCGAAGAAUAGAAUUAGCAGAAGCCAUGGAAGAAGAGGUACUUGCAGAAGAAGCGGCAACAUUAAUAGAACUAGUGACAAGCAAGCUGCGCCCACCAGCAUGCUAUCGAAUGCGCUGUAACAAUAAUGGAGAUUGCCGAAGUCAUGGUUGCUCUGGCUGCUCUG
rnacentral:lncRNA from 1 species